rnacentral:rRNA from 1 species
GACGAACGCUGGCGGCGUGCUUAACACAUGCAAGUCGAGCGGAAAGGCCCUUCGGGGUACUCGAGCGGCGAACGGGUGAGUAACACGUGAGUAACCUGCCCCAGACUUUGGGAUAACCCUCGGAAACGGGGGCUAAUACCGGAUACGACACAGCAUCGCAUGGGGUCUGUGUGGAAAGUUUUUCGGUUUGGGAUGGGCUCGCGGCCUAUCAGCUUGUUGGUGGGGUGAUGGCCUACCAAGGCGACGACGGGUAGCCGGCCUGAGAGGGCGACCGGCCACACUGGGACUGAGACACGGCCCAGACUCCUACGGGAGGCAGCAGUGGGGAAUAUUGCACAAUGGGCGGAAGCCUGAUGCAGCGACGCCGCGUGAGGGAUGACGGCCUUCGGGUUGUAAACCUCUUUCAGCAGGGACGAAGCGCAAGUGACGGUACCUGCAGAAGAAGCGCCGGCCAACUACGUG